rnacentral:sRNA from 1 species
GACUCUUCGCUCAGUGUCGCUCAUGUGAACGGAAUCUUUCUCGUGUCGCGGAUAAUGAAACAAGUGAAAAAUUAGUGUAUAUUUUUUUUAUUUAGAAAACUAGCUGUUCCAUUAAUAUAUGCCAGAAAAGGAGAGCGUCUUGCAAAUUUAUGAACGCGUUAAAUUAUCUGCGAAAAAAUGGAGUUCUGGGCAUAAUCCAAGUGGGUAACCAACGAGCUAGUUAAUUAGCUCCAUGGGGGGCUGUAAAGUGAAAGAAAAAGAUAGUUUUGUAGCUAUACAGACAUAUGUCUCGUAAGCGCUACGUCACGAUGCAAUUUCACGGCAUUGCCAGCAGCGAAAAUUAUAAAAAGGUAGAGAGAAAAAACCAAUUCUCAGGCAAUCGAAUGAGCCAGGCCUCAAAUGAAGGCGAAGAAAACUACCUAAGUGCAAAGAAAAGGCCCUGACCCGAGGCAGCUGCAACUGCACAAAAGAGGUGGAGGGUCGCCGAAAAGAGGCCCCGGACGAACCCCUGGGAACCCAAGCCGACUACCGGCUUAGGGGAUGGGAUCCGAAGCGAAUGUGCACCUACCUGGCCCAACAAUGGCGUGGCCUAGGAGACCGAGGCUACCAGCCCGAGUCCGUCACCGAGUCGAGCAUCAGUCGAUUAAAAGUGCUCUAGCCAGCGACAUGGCGAACGCGGAGAACACCAGGGAACCUUUUGACCUCGACUGACUGAGGACCAGUGCGUUUUUUUUUAUUGUGAAAAUUUUUAAGUGGGGAUUUCGUGAGCUUAGUGCAACUGUACCAGAAGGAGACCUACGCAACGGGACGGGUUGUGACGCCAUGGCAGUGGAACUUUCCAGGCCCCCAGCCUAGAUCUUUCGUGUUGUUUGUGCUGCAAUAUUCACCUAUGGCCAUGGCCAGAAUCACCCACUCACUAGCAUCACCCCAUUGCUCCAUCAACCGAUAAAUCAAGCAAGAAAACCCCUAAUCGAUCAGAGGAGGCCAUGGCCCUGGGUCUCUGGCGCCCAUCCCUGGUGGCGCUCAAUACAGCAGCGUCCUCGGGCGACUCGCAGUUGCGGGCGCGGCAGGAGUCGGACUGCAGCGGCGUGGGUGGUGCGCACCGGCGGUGUGACGGCUGGUGGGCGCUGCCUCAUAACCAAUGCUUGCAACUGCAUCUAUGGCCGCGAUGGGGCCCGCAAGGGCCCACAGAAUCGAAGAGUACCGCUGGCGGUGGAAGAGUUUGACCGACGCGAGCGAGAGGCGAAUAUAAAGACUGAAAAGCGUUCACUUGGUGCCACACGGGAUACACGCGAACAUCGUGCGGGACGAAGCGUAACCACAUACUUCUACCAAAGCGGUGCAAGCACUCGUGUGGCACUACGUGAAAGCGACUGAGAUAGCAACAUGUGUGAGAGGGACCAAGAGAGUACGCUCCUCUCUUUCAUGACUGGUCAUGGGAAUGAAAAGGAUAGCCACUCGUGUCGCGCCGGCCAAACGAUUCCAUCGAAAGCGGCAGAGCAGGACGGCCACAGAGCAGUUUGCACAGCCCGAAUAAGAGCGGUAACGCAAUACAACCACAUCCCGCAAGAAAGCUAACGCAUCCCUGAUGUGUAUAACAGUGGGCGUGCUCACCUCCCCACACACGUACACGCCGCAUGCACGCACGCACGCAGGCACGACGGCGGUCUGUCGAAACGUAGAGAUCGGGAUAGCUGCCAGGGGCGAUAGGCUUCUAAUAUAAAGCACAAGAGCAAAAAUCUGCCCAGGCAGGUGCUCUAACCUAACAUCCUCACUGAGUGAUCAAGAAUAAUCGUAUAAACUAGCAAAUUUCAUCGUAACGUUCAAACCUCACCUCAUCAAGCCGCACCCAUGGCCUAUAUCUAAAUAUUGUCAGAGUUAAGUCUCUCGGGUCUCAAGCGAUGAUUUCUUUCCGCCCGGAAAGAGCUGCUGCCUGGUAGCCACAGGGAACGGACCAGGGUGCGGGGACCAUAGGUAUUUCAGGUAUACCUACAAAUUAGUGCUAGUCUAGUCAAGUCGCUGGCUUUUGCUGUCACAUAGCCGACCAGAAGAAGCUGCCACUGCAUAGAUUCACAGGGAGUUCGGAACUCUCAGAGCUCUCCGCCCAGCUGCAGGACAACAUCAGCCACACAUUCCUUUAGAUCGCCUCCAGCAGGGUUCAAAAGCCAAGUUAAGUCACCAAAAUCACCAACUUUUUAAAUCAUAGCACAGUCUAGAAACAUCUAGUCGAUCCUUGGACAACCGUCCAGCCGGCCCCCAUCAUAGAAGAUUACAGAUCAGCCAAUAAACCAAUAAAAUAUAUAACAAUAUACAAAAAAAGUGAAAGCCAAGUAAACAAAUAAAAUAAAAAGCAAAAAAAUUAAUGCUGAAUCGCUAUACGAUUUGUCAUAAGAAAAAAUAAUACAAAAUGUAUUGAAGCUUUCUACGAUCUUUAAUAAAAGAUCUCAUUGUGAGCAAAUUGAAAAAAAACCCUCUGUUGGUCAAUCGUUCGACCUGCAGUUGGUUUGCCAAGGCAACCGUCACAAUCUAUGCUGAUAAUGAAGAAACCUACUUAUGACUUAUGACAAAUCGUGUGAACAUAACCGCAGAGGCAACGCAAUACUUUAGAUGGUGGCCGGCGAAACGUUUGCCCCCAAAAUUCGCUGAAAAAAAACAACUGAAUAUCAGAACCCGUUUACAAAAAAUGCAGUCUUUAUUGGUGACUUGCUUAGAGCUGAGCCUUGUGAUUUUCAAAAUUUCUGUUUGUUAACUAGUCACUUUCAUAGGCGAAAUGUCCUGCAGCUGAAGGGUUUGUUUGGGGGACCGUUCUCCCGCCUGAAUUUGAUAUGGAAGCAGAGCCAAAGGAUUUCGGACCAUCGAUCCCGUCCACCCUCAACCGGCCACAGCCAAGAAGCUCUGCCACAUCUCAGAGAAGAGUCCGCUAACCAAACAAUUUGUAAAACUUUCAGGUUCUGCCUGGAGGACACCUGUUUCUGUUUCUGUUUGUUUUGUCUGUUUGAUAACCCCCGUCCAUUGUGUGCUCCCACUUAAGCCCAAGUUUCCAGUUUUCCCAUUAAUAUGUGUACUUCCACCUUUUUAGUUUCCACUGUCCCAAACCCCAGACUCCUGACACCCACACCACAGUCCCCACACUGAUCAACACACAGAUAAACUAUCGCAUACACACAAUCGUUCGGGUUUCGGAAAACGCGUCGAAGCGUUUCGUGGUCUUGAAACGUUUUCCGAAACAGAAAAUUUCGAAUUUGCGUAUAACAAAAAAAAAAAA